GUGGGGAAUAUUGCACAAUGGGCGAAAGCCUGAUGCAGCAACGCCGCGUGAGGGACGACGGCCUUCGGGUUGUAAACCUCUUUUAGUAGGGAAGAAGCGAAAGUGACGGUACCUGCAGAAAAAGCACCGGCUAACUACGUGCCAGCAGCCGCGGUAAUACGUAGGGUGCAAGCGUUAUCCGGAAUUAUUGGGCGUAAAGAGCUCGUAGGCGGUCUGUCGCGUCUGCUGUGAAAACUGGAGGCUCAACCUCCAGCCUGCAGUGGGUACGGGCAGACUAGAGUGCGGUAGGGGGGAUUGGAAUUCCUGGUGUAGCGGUGGAAUGCGCAGAUAUCAGGAGGAACACCGAUGGCGAAGGCAGAUCUCUGGGCCGUAACUGACGCUGAGGAGCGAAAGCGUGGGGAGCGAACAGGAUUAGAUACCCCUGUAGUCC
rnacentral:rRNA from 1 species